GACGAACGCUGGCGGCGUGCUUAACACAUGCAAGUCGAACGGAAAGGCCCUGCUUUUGCGGGGUGCUCGAGUGGCGAACGGGUGAGUAACACGUGAGUAACCUGCCCUUGACUUUGGGAUAACUUCAGGAAACUGGGGCUAAUACCGGAUAGGAGCUCCUGCUGCAUGGUGGGGGUUGGAAAGUUUCGGCGGUUGGGGAUGGACUCGCGGCUUAUCAGCUUGUUGGUGGGGUAGUGGCUUACCAAGGCUUUGACGGGUAGCCGGCCUGAGAGGGUGACCGGCCACAUUGGGACUGAGAUACGGCCCAGACUGCUACGGGAGGCAGCAGUGGGGAAUAUUGCACAAUGGGCGGAAGCCUGAUGCAGCAACGCCGCGUGCGGGAUGACGGCCUUCGGGUUGUAAACCGCUUUCGCCUGUGACGAAGCGUGAGUGACGGUAAUGGGUAAAGAAGCACCGGCUAACUACGUG
rnacentral:rRNA from 1 species